rnacentral:lncRNA from 1 species
AUGAGUCACUGUUUACUCCCCUUCUGUUUUCCAGGCUGGAAGCAACAUGAGAUUUAUGUCAGUGGGAACAACAUGUGGCUGAUCUGCAUGGUAUUCACAAAUAGGCAGGAGCACUCUCUUCCCCCAAGCGUCUCAUUUCUCAUUCCUUGGAUGAUCCUUCAAAUAGAUAUGCAGCAUAGCUGGGGACUUCAGAAGUGUUUAAACAGUUUUCCCUUAACAGGAAAAAAAAUAUCAAAGAUACCAAUAUCAAUUCUUGACACCCCAUUCUUCUGUGUGUACUGAAAGAGAGCUUUUCUUUUCGGCAAAAAUGAUGAUACUGGGAGAAGACGACCAAGGCCUGAUCUUUGAACUGGGGCUGGAUGCUGAGUAAGUACUUAAGAUGGUUUCAUAGAGGAAAAAAAAAAAAAAAGAGCCAAAAAAAGAGCUUAGGUCAGUAGGUGCCACCUCAUUUUGGCAAAUGUUUAACCCAUGCUACCAGGUUAUAGGAUCCUGCCCAAAGGCAGAGUAAGGUCUCUCUUUGAUUUAGGGCUUACAGUUAGGUACAUGGAGAUGCUGUAGAUGGCUCUGAAAUAUUCUGAUGUAGAUUUCUCAUUCUUUUUCCUCUCUUAAAGCUGUGGCAUGAGAAAAGCCUGCCUUGGGUUAGCUGUCUUUCUCCAGGACAGAGUUUGCUGGUGUCAGUUCUAAGGAGGUGGUAGCAUAUUCUACCAUGUGAGUACUAGGAGUUGAAUUCCUCAGAUGAUUAGAGGAAGGGAUGGUGUCAUCACUAACCUUCCUGGUAUCUAGUUUGAACAGCACUUUAUUCAGCCUACUGACUCUAGAGAAUUGAUCCUUAGGUUUCAGUUUCUCUCCAAGCAAAACUCCCUGCAAAAAUUGACUUAGUAAAUUAAAAUAAUUUAAUUUUUUGGACCUAAGAAGUUUCUGUAAAUUCUAGGAAUCACUUUUUUUUUUUUUUAAAUCUGAAUUUCUAGUAGUUCUUAAGGUUUUCUUCAGGUUUUCUGCUUCUAAUACUGGAUUAAAGUCAUACAGUUAAGGCAGACCAGAGCAAUAAUUGAAGGUGUAAAUCAGACACUGCCAUAAUCUAUAUUUCCAACCUUAAAAGCAGAUUAUAAUCUAGCUUUUGUGACUCUCAGCCAAAUUACUCGCUGUCCUCUGGUCUGGGAACUGCAUUUCUCAGUUUGACUUCAGGUGGUGAAUGUGGUCAGCUUUGCUUGGAGUGGAAAUCUCAAAGCACCUCGGUGCUUUUCCCUCCUGUAGCCUGCACAAAGAUGUUUUUCAGCCAGUAAAAGCUUUGAGUGCUUCAGAGGGGAAAUGAGCAUCUCAUAUUGCUGCUGUUUGUUAUCACAACCUUUAGCAAAGAUAUUGAGAGGGAGAGGUGCUGAGCCUGUGCUCCAGCUGAGGUAGCAAAAGCACAGAGUCACAGAGGAGAGGCAGUAGGAAAAACCAAGACUACCAGGGCACUAGUAAGAAGCAUAUGAUACAGAAUUAAGUAACUCGAAGUAUUGACUUAGUCUUGUCCUUGUAUGUGUUCUUUGUAACUGUAUUUCCCUUUCUGCCUGCUCUGAAUGGUUGUGGUUGGCACCAGUAAAAGGCCAGAACUUGCAGUCCUGGCUUCUUCACUUCUCAUGUGGUUAUUGAAUGUACAAUAUAUUGUACAGUUAUUACUAAAAGUAAUUACAAAGUUGAACAAAGAACAAUUAGUGGUUUAUGGUAAACAGUGAAAAUGAAGAAGAACAGAUUCAGGAAACGAAAUGAGGUUACAAAGCAAGUUGUUUCUGCAUUUAGGCAAUUGGGGGUUGUUUUAUAUGAAGAUCUUUCUGCAGAGUCCUAUUUUUUUCCAAAAAAUAAGAAUAACUAGUUAACUAGCUUUCUCUUUAGACAUUUCUGUAACUUUCACUAGAGACAAGUAUACUCAUAGAAAGCGUAGAAUUAUUAAAAAAAAAAAAAAAGUGGUGAAUUGGUGAAUUAGAUUAAAUUUAUCUUAAAUACCCUUCUCUGCAGGUUAGAAAAUGUAUACCUCAUUUUUGGUGUGUCACACAGAAUGAGAUUUGACCUGUUAAUGACUUUAUUUAAUGCAGUUGAAUAAUUUCUACUCGGAGUUUAUUUGCUUUUUCAUUGUCUUGCUUAAUUUGUUUUGUGAAUCUCCCUCUUUUUUGUUUGAAAGUCACAGUUUUUAAUUUCAGUUUUUCAAAUGCCUCGGCAGUAACUUCUGUUAUCCUUGACAUUUCUGUGUCACCAUAAUGUGAACUGCUGCAGUGGGAAACAUAAUCCUCUAAUCUGGCUAGCUCAGACGCAUUGUUCGUAUGGAGACAUUUUCCAAGUCAGUGUAUUUAUUAACAGCUCUGAGCGCUCUGUUCACUUCGGCAUCUGCACUGGGAACAGUCUUCUGAAUGGAAGCUGUAGCCCAACAGUGGGUUUGUGCCUAUGACUUCUUAAAUUAACAAGAAUAACGAUGCUGGUUCAUGUGAUUGUAGGACCCAGAUCUCUGCCUUUAGCUUCAAAAGCUGUAAAAUAUGCAUAUGCACACAUGCACGUGUGUGUGUAUAUAUGUAUGUAUGUACUCAGAUUGACAGUUAAUAAACUCUUUUAUUGAGAAAGCA